AGUCGAGCGAAUCGAUGGGAGCUUGCUCCCUGAGAUUAGCGGCGGACGGGUGAGUAACACGUGGGCAACCUGCCUAUAAGACUGGGAUAACUUCGGGAAACCGGAGCUAAUACCGGAUACGUUCUUUUCUCGCAUGAGAGAAGAUGGAAAGACGGUUUACGCUGUCACUUAUAGAUGGGCCCGCGGCGCAUUAGCUAGUUGGUGAGGUAAUGGCUCACCAAGGCGACGAUGCGUAGCCGACCUGAGAGGGUGAUCGGCCACACUGGGACUGAGACACGGCCCAGACUCCUACGGGAGGCAGCAGUAGGGAAUCUUCCGCAAUGGACGAAAGUCUGACGGAGCAACGCCGCGUGAACGAAGAAGGCCUUCGGGUCGUAAAGUUCUGUUGUUAGGGAAGAACAAGUACCAGAGUAACUGCUGGUACCUUGACGGUACCUAACCAGAAAGCCACGGCUAACUACGUGCCAGCAGCCGCGGUAAUACGUAGGUGGCAAGCGUUGUCCGGAAUUAUUGGGCGUAAAGCGCGCGCAGGUGGUUCCUUAAGUCUGAUGUGAAAGCCCACGGCUCAACCGUGGAGGGUCAUUGGAAACUGGGGAACUUGAGUGCAGAAGAGGAAAGUGGAAUUCCAAGUGUAGCGGUGAAAUGCGUAGAGAUUUGGAGGAACACCAGUGGCGAAGGCGACUUUCUGGUCUGUAACUGACACUGAGGCG
rnacentral:rRNA from 3 species